GCCCCGCCCACUCCGCGUGGGCGGGGCUUUGCGGGAGGGCAGGUGGCGAGGUUCUCGCCCCGAGAGUGGGAGGCGGGACGCGGCAGGUCAGCAAAGUGCUACUUUAGGUCUUUUUGUAUUCUAACUCCUGUUUCAGGGCCGUGAUGAUGAAGUUCGCCACUUUUCCUUUUCUUAUGCCCUUCAUUCGUGUUUUGGAGAGGGAGCGGGGAGGUGCCCGCAAUUAGUAUUCUCUCUUCUUCCCUGGCUAUUAGCAAGAGCAGUCCACUGGGUAUCGUGGGCACAGAGCAAUUGUACCUUUUGGGAGACAGUAAUGAAGCAGAUUGGAUGCAGUUCCCCGCCCCCGCAACAAAAAAGUGAGCUGGACAAUAGGUCAGAAGAAAUAUCCAAACUGAAACAAAGAGAGACAAGAUGGAAAAGAUACAAUAGAAAAGAAAAUACUAUUCAUGUGACAUGGAGUUAAAAAUGUCUACAAUUGGAGUCUUUGCUGGGGAGGACUGAGAGAAUGGGGUAGAAGCAAUCUGUGAAGACAUAUGAGUGAAAGUUUUCCAAAACUGAUGAAAGAUACCAAACCAUAGAAGCAAGAGGAUAAGCCUUCAAACAGGGACUUGGCUUCCAUGGGAAGAUGGAAAUGGGCAGUUUCUUCAGGCAUGUCGUUAUAGAUCCAAACUCCGAAUUAUAGAAGGAGAGAGAGAACCAGAGAGCACAAGUGAGAACAGCAGAGGG